CUGUAAACACCCCUGGAAGCUAGUUGGUAAGCUGGAGAGAUGUUGAAUAUAAUAUGCUCAGUAAACAAAACAUGAAGACCUGACUGUGGCAUCCAUCGUCUCAAGCUGGAUGACUGGGCCAGAAACUCACUGUGGUAUAUGUGACACGGACAUAAAGGAGUGGAUCUUCUCUCCCCACUCUAAGUGUUGGAUCAGGACAAGUUGGAUCAAUUUAUUGAUCUAAUGGGAAAGGAAUCAUUUGAGAGGAUUGAUGUCAUAUUUUCUACCAGAUUAGCAAACGAAUCUAAUUGACCAUGCACUGCAAGAUCACUAUGGAGGCAAAUAAAUAAAUAAAUGCUUAUUUAGCGAUGGGGGAAAAAGAGAACGUCCAAAGGAAGGAUUCAGAGUUCCUUGUGUUCCCUUUCAAUUCAGGAUAUUCUAUGAUUCUAUGAUUAAAAAGGGACCCGCCAUUCAGAAAUCGCUUCCUUAUUAGAAUGUGCAAUGUAAUACUGCAGCCCCAGCAAUGGUCUUUUCUUGUCAUGUUAAAUUUUAUAUUGUCUUGCUAGCUAAACAGCAUAAAAAUGUACAGUCACAGACAACUCUGUAAUACUACCUCAUCCAAUUUCAUUCAUAUUGACAGAAUACAUAGAAUCAGACCUGAUGAACACAAGACUGUGAAUAGGUCUUAGGUGGAAUGUCAAAACUGCCAUUCUCUCCCUGCUUCGGAGGUUGCUGGCUUAGGUUUAGCCCUCUUUUUCUUGGCUCACCAUUUGUUGUCACCUCAUACCUGUUGGGAGAGGUGUGGGUGGAUUUCUCUGAGUCUUAGUCAAUGCAUGCUCUCCCAGUGCUGGUUUUUAAUUAAUCCCAUUUAAAGGGAUUAUUGCUUUUGUGGACUGGGUUCUAUUGCCUCAGGAAUUUUAAGUAUUUUGAUUAUGACUACAUUACUGAGCUGAAAUGAUUAAAAAAAAAAAAAAUUGUAAACUUAGUGCUCUGAUGUCUUCCCUGACCCUGAGGGAGCUGCUAGAAAAGCUACUGUCUUCAAGAGGAGAAAGAGGAAAGAAAAAAGUGAGCUCAAAUUGGAGAACCAUGGAAAAGAGUUCAGAGGAGCCAGAUUUUCACUUUAUCCCAAACUCUCAGGGAUGAGAGGUCAUUACACUGCUGGGAGGGCUCUGUUCCUCAUCCUGCCUCACACACACAGCAACAACUUGCUCCACAUCUUCCAUCUGCUUCCCAUCAGUGACAGGAGCAACAGGCAUAUCAGGCCAUAGGGGCAGAAGGCAGAGAGCAGUUGUUCGCUAG
ensembl:lncRNA